UACGGAGGGUGCGAGCGUUAUCCGGAUUUACUGGGUUUAAAGGGUGUGUAGGCGGAUCAUUAAGUCAGUGGUGAAAUCUCGGGGCUCAACCCCGAAACUGCCAUUGAUACUAUUGAUCUUGAAUACUGUGGAGGUGAGCGGAAUGUGUCAUGUAGCGGUGAAAUGCAUAGAGAUGACACAGAACACCGAUUGCGAAGGCAGCUCACUACGCAGUGAUUGACGCUGAGGCACGAAAGCGUGGGGAUCAAACAGG
rnacentral:rRNA from 1 species